CUGUGAUAUUCUAUAAAACAUUCGUUUGGCCACACCUAGCUAUUCUCAGAGGCGACCGUUGAUUGAUUGCAGAAAAUUUACACAGAACCAACGUUGCAAAUUAUAGACACAUCGUGGCCUAACUCAUGAUGAGCAAUUUGAUCUUACUGUUGCUGCUGUUAUGCACAGUUUCUUUCGUGGAAUGUAACUUAACAGAAACCUUUGGCAAAAGAUGGUGCGCCCGAUACUUUAAAAAAUGUUUUCCCACUAAACCAUGCUGUUGGGACAUUUAUGUGUGCAGGACCAAACCAUGUGGAACAACAUUUAGGUGUAUGAGACCAGGGAAUGGCAACGCAUGACGUCAUUUUUGGAUGACCCAGGAGUCCUUGUCAAAAGAAACAACUAAUGGAUAAUUUUGUUAAUUAAUUCAUCUAAUAAAAAUCGAAAAGAAAAUU